CGUGAGUUCGGGCAGCAGGCGCGUGCGCAGCGAGGCGCGCCCGCGGCCCGGGCUUCCG
rnacentral:misc_RNA from 2 species